AACGAACGCUGGCGGCAUGCCUAACACAUGCAAGUCGAACGAAGGCUUCGGCCUUAGUGGCGCACGGGUGCGUAACGCGUGGGAAUCUGCCCUUUGGUUCGGAAUAACAGCUGGAAACGGCUGCUAAUACCGGAUGAUGACGAAAGUCCAAAGAUUUAUCGCCAGAGGAUGAGCCCGCGUUGGAUUAGGUAGUUGGUGGGGUAAAGGCCUACCAAGCCGACGAUCCAUAGCUGGUCUGAGAGGAUGAUCAGCCACACUGGGACUGAGACACGGCCCAGACUCCUACGGGAGGCAGCAGUGGGAAUAUUGGACAAUGGGCGCAAGCCUGAUCCAGCAAUGCCGCGUGAGUGAUGAAGGCCCUAGGGUUGUAAAGCUCUUUUACCCGGGAAGAUAAUGACUGUACCGGGAGAAUAAGCCCCGGCUAACUCCGUG
rnacentral:rRNA from 1 species